GACGUAGGGCGCGAGCGUUGUCCGGAUUUAUUGGGCGUAAAGAGCUCGUAGGCGGCUUGUCGCGUCGUUCGUGAAAACUUGGGGCUCAACCCCAAGCUUGCGGUCGAUACGGGCAGGCUAGAGUUCGGUAGGGGAGACUGGAAUUCCUGGUGUAGCGGUGAAAUGCGCAGAUAUCAGGAGGAACACCGGUGGCGAAGGCGGGUCUCUGGGCCGAUACUGACGCUGAGACGCGAAGGCUAGGGGAGCAAACAGG
rnacentral:rRNA from 1 species